rnacentral:siRNA from 1 species
GAAAUAUAAUCCAGAACUUCUAC